rnacentral:ncRNA from 2 species
CCGUUAUCACGAAAGGUAGAGGGAUUAGACCCGCUGAAGCCUUAGCAACCCAUUUCGUUAAGAAAUAAAGGUGCUACAUUCUACAGAUUAUCUUGAACAAGUUUCAUUAAUUAAUCUGACAGAUAACAG